CGGCGGACGGGUGAGUAACGCGUGGGUAACCUACCCUGUACACACAGAUAACAUACCGAAAGGUAUGCUAAUACGGGAUAAUAUAUUUGAGGGGCAUCUCUUGAAUAUCAAAGGUGAGCCAGUACAGGAUGGACCCGCGUCUGAUUAGCUAGUUGGUAAGGUAACGGCUUACCAAGGCGACGAUCAGUAGCCGACCUGAGAGGGUGAUCGGCCACAUUGGAACUGAGACACGGUCCAA
rnacentral:rRNA from 1 species